AUUGAACGCUGGCGGCAGGCCUAACACAUGCAAGUCGAACGAGUGGCGGACGGGUGAGUAAUGUCUGGGAAACUGCCUGAUGGAGGGGGAUAACUAAUGGAAACGGUAGCUAAUACCGCCUAACCUAGGAUGGGCCCAGGUGGGAUUAGCUGGUGGGUGGGGUAAAGGCUCACAUAGGCGACGAUGCCUAGCUGGGCUGAGAGGAUGACCAGCCAAACUGGAACUGAGACACGGUCCAGAUUCCGACGGGAGGCAGCAGUGGGUAUUAUGGCACAAUGGGCGCAAGCCUGAUGAAGCCAUGCCGCGUGUAUGAAGAAGGCCUUCGGGUUGUAAAGUACUUUCAGCGGGGAGGCGUUACCCGCAGAAGAAGCACCGGCUAACUCCGUGCCAGCAGCCGCGGUAAUAC
rnacentral:rRNA from 1 species